UGCACUUUGAUUCCAAGUUUAUAAUUUGAGAGUGUGAAUUUGUGCUUCUCUGGAACUGAGACCGCAGCGUCGAUCUUUUUCAGUUAAGCUUUUGCUUGUUUUAUCCGUCUUGGCGAUUCAAUUCGAAUUGUUAUGUGGUGUUUGAUGAUGGAAGUCUCGGUUUUCUUCCGACUCUUGAGAAUUUCUGCGGAGAGCAAAGCGAAUGCCCAGAAUAUGAUGUAAAUGUCAAAUUGGACCAAAGAAAUCCACAGUUUGCUGGUUGCAUUGUUGUUUGAAUUAGGUCGAUUCAAAGCCUUGAAACCAACAUUCGGCAAAAGCAUUGCGGCUUGACGAAUGAGAUUACAGAUACUUUUAUUGGUGGCCGUGGACAAAAAAGUGGCCGUUGACAAAAAAAAGUGACUUGUCCAUUGAAGUGUCAUUCCUAUUGUGGACACUCUUAGGUCGUGCAUCCGGAUUCAAAGCCAUGAAACGAAAUUUCGGAGGCAUGAGAUUACAGGUAUAUUUAGUUUUGAUAGACAUGCCCUGAUGAAGUAAUUUGAAGGUGAGAAGCCAAUAUUAGUAACGCUUCUAAAGAAGACAUUUUCUCCACCAACUUAUUAUAUUUCAAUUUAUAUUUCUUAAAAUUUGUGACAAAAAAAGAUUCCUAAUCGUGCAUAGUGGCCUAAAUGGUUGAUUCUGAACAAUCUGUGCCACAUAGUACUCCUAUAAUAAUAACAACAAUGUUAAUACCCCUCACAUGAUGUCGGGCCGGAG